AAUACAAAAUUACACGAGGAGUGGGAAAACAAGCCAACUCUCGAAUUUCAUACAACUCUCUCUCUCUCUCUCUCUCUCUCUCUAGUUCUUCGAGGGUGACUACCACGAACCAGUCAGCGAAGCAGGGUAGUAGCAGGGUCCAUUACAGAGUCGGGUAAGUGGAGCUGCGAGUUUGAAUGUGAGACCCGAGUCGAGGCAGAGUUCAGCCCGGCCUCGUCACCCUCAACGGCCACGCUGAUGAUUGGAAGGACGUUGAUGGCUUCGAGUUCUCUCUCCUCCCCGCUCUAGACCCAGAUCCCGAGCACGAAUACAAAGGCGGAAAAAUGACCGUUAAUGCUUUUGCACGAUGGCCAUUCUGUUUUCUUUAUGUUACAAGUUGAUGGGGAAUAUGUGUACUCCAAAGGUAAUAGCAACCAAUGCCCUUCUGUCGCUCUUAUGUUUCAAAUUGGAGAAGAUGCCUCGUACCAUAGCAUAAGUUACCACCUCUGGUUAUUUAUUUCUGAUUUCCAAUGAUUUUUUUUAUUUUUUUAUUUUAAAGUUUUAGUUGCUUUUCAUGUUGAUUUCUUCUAUCAUAAUCCAAACUGAGAAGACUUAUGCUGUAAGAAGGGUGGAUGUACCGAAGGGAAGGGAAAGACAUGCACCAACAAGACGUGCAAAGGGCAUGAAGUUGAUAUCAUGCACUUCUCAAUUGGAAAUGCUAUUCCGG